UACAGAGGUCCCGAGCGUUGUUCGGAUUCACUGGGCGUAAAGGGUGCGUAGGUGGCGAGGUAAGUCGGAUGUGAAAGCUCGGAGCUCAACUCCGAAAUGGCAUUGGAAACUACCUUGCUCGAGGGUUGGAGGGGGGACUGGAAUACUUGGUGUAGCAGUGAAAUGCGUAGAUAUCAAGUGGAACACCAGUGGCGAAGGCGGCUCACUGGCCCGAUACUGACGCUGAGGCACGAAAGCGUGGGGAGCAAACAGG
rnacentral:rRNA from 1 species